AGCUACAGAGAAUGAGUGAGGGAGAUAGACUGAGGAGAAAACCUGAGGGAGGGAAAAUAGGGAGAGGGGAGAGUAGUAUUCGGUCCGAGACGAAGAAGCGCAUGCUUCAUUAAGUGAGGAAGUAAUCCUGGCUAAUUAAGGCUCUCCAUGACAGCACUGUCAAGGAUGACUGAUCCUUCAAAUGGCACCUCCCUCUCCUGACUGACAGCCAGCCUGCUCUCACUACUUUGAAGGAGAGCCCACAUGAAACAGCAACCUGAGCUGAAACCAGAGAGAGCAGAGGCCAUGGUAUAUGACCCAGACGCCCAGACAGGGUUGUACUGUCCUGCCUGACAUCAAUCCUUGCCUGCCCCCCCUGCCCAGCUCGGCACAGCCUAACUCAGCCCAAAACGGGGGACGACGACGACCCGCUCGUAAACAUGCCUAUAAAAGUCCUGUUUGUAUUGCACCAGAAGGCAGCUCUGUCUCAACCCCCAGGAGCUCACGUGAGCGAGCACUCAGAGAUGACCGACUAUCUUGGGGCUAUGGCAAUCUGAGUGUCACAACAGGUGUCUCUGUUCCACUCUCCCUGUCAAGGUGAACAGUAGUCACCGGGGUGGAUGCUGGAUGUGAAUGCAGGAGCAGCAUGGUCAUCAGUUCGGGCAUACAGAGGAGUGAGAGGAAGGACAAUAGAGAUUGGCCAGGAUACCACCGGGCAAAUUUAAAAUGGAACAAAAGAAAGGCAGCCACUCAAAUACUUGAUCAUUACACGCUAGGGAACGGAUGAUUCCCAUGGCAAUCAGCAGCUGAUCAGGUGUGUAUGUCUUGGCCCAUCAGAGGCGGCUGGCGGCCAGGACUCCUCUCAGCUCGCUCCCUGAAGACCCCUGGCUCCACAGAAACAGGAAAUGGUAAUAGUAUUGCACUGCUUUUCCUCCCCCUAUCUGUAUCCCCAUUUCUCUCUCGCUGAAUGAACAAAAAAGGAGAAAAAAACAGAUGUGUAAUAACAUAUAUGUGUGGAAAAAUGGACCUAGACCAUAAAAUAAACCAAAGGUACACAUUGUGUUUUUGCACUUUCUUCAAAUCCAUAUAGAAAAAAAUGCAUUCAGUGUAUGCUAUACAAUCAGUAAAUUACAGUUGUCAGACUGUUUUGUUUUCAAAAAAUGUAUUGAGCUUGAUGUAUAUCUACCCUGUAGUUACCUCAACCAGAGAUUUGGAAAAAUCUGAUUUCAUUGUUUUUUUGCUAUUAGACAGUUGUUUGAAAAGUUGUUUGAAAGUCAUGUUUUUGUCACAGCAAACUUAACAUAUUUAAUUUUUACUUGUGCUACAGUAGCAAUUGGCAAUUCAACAAAUGAUGGUUGAUUUAUAUCAUGAUUAUGCUCUGAUUAAAACAAAGUUGUAUUUUGUCAAACCCUCCAGUCUUCCGACUGCCAAGCAGAGGGUCAGUUAUGUCUGCUUGCACUACAGGCUGUGUAGUCUCUCCACAGGUGGAUGAACACAUCCCCCCCCAGCCUCCAAGUGUUUAUGAGUCACUUCACCCCUGGCCAAGCAUGUGGUGAAGCCACCCAGCUCCAGCCAUAUCAGGGGGAUCUGCUAACUAGCCCCCAUGGACACUGCCAGGUUUUUAUAGUAAAUCGUGGAGCAAAACCACAAUUGACUAAAAAGAGAUAGGCUUGCUCUGACUUCAUAGCAUUUUGUGGUCUACAUUUCCCUUUGAGUUUUUUUUCAUUAGAGUUCUUUCCCUUCUCUUUUUUCCUUUCAUCUUAAUUUAAUAUGCAGCUGGAUCCACCAUUCCUCCUAAUAGUUUUCUUUGUUUUAGCCCUUUAAAAACAGUGUUUUAUCGUUUCGGCUUUCCAUUGGAAGAUUUAUUUUUCAUGAAAGCCUUAAUGUGUUCAAGAAGUUCCAAAGUUAGCUGCUAUAAUGGUGCAGCCACAAAAAAUGUUCUUCAAACACAAUAAUUUGUACAAAGACAUUGUGUCCUACGGCACAGUUCUAUAGGUUGUUGUCCACACCUUAGAGUAUCCAUUUAAAUAUGAUCACCAUUCCCUAUAUUUCUUAUAGGGGGGGUUGCAGUGAAAGCACAAGAUAACCCCUGUGGAGCACAGAUGUGGACAGCUUAAGUCAAAUGCACAAGUUCUCUUUGCCAAAAUACAACCAUAAAAAUCUGCCUGCAAUAAGUAACCAUGAAACCAAAAUGUCUCUUUUCCUAUAGCAGAACUGUGGGAUCUGCCCCAUCAACCGUGAACCUUAGUCACACAGGGGAUACCGAGGGGAGUGCUGAGGCCGGAUUGGGUGGAAAACCAUCUGGGAGGCUGAGUUUAUACUGGACAAAGAAAUCUGCACACAGAAGUCAAUAAACAUAGUGUGGAGUUGCACACAGAUUCUUACAGGGAUCUUCAUCUUUGUGAGCCAUACAGGCGCCAUCUGUAAAUACAGAUACAGCACAUAACAUUCUUGUAACCUUUCCUCAGGCCACACCUUAUACUGAUAUCCAUUUUUGGCAUUCCAAAACACAUAAGUAGUGCAGAGUCCUUGCGUUGCUGCCAAGGGUUUCUCAGUCCAGUGCCCAACUCCACAACUUUCAGCCUGGGCAGAGGAGGGCAAAGUACAGGGCAUCUGUUCUCAUUCCCAGGCUUGGAUUCACUUUAUUGCACUUUAUCCCUGUGGCUUCUCUCAAAAUGCCAGUUAGGUGCUUGGCAGAACUGCAACAUUUUCAUUUUUGAUCUUAUUUCUACUCAAUGUAGUGACGGAUCAGAGCAAAUUCCUCUGAUUAUGAGUUGUAUGCAACAUGCAUACAGCUCUAAGCAGGAAUUAGCUCUGCACACAAGCGUCAUUGUCUCCUUUGCAGUUUUGUUGAUUUUUUGUUUUACGUUGUGUUUAUUUUUCUUAUAUUCUUGAUGUAGAAUGUUUGCUGUUUUUAUUAUCUACUGCACUUAACAGCAAACAGUUAAAAGGAGCAUUAUGGAAAGUCAUAUUGAUGAAGAUGCCUCCUAAUACAGAACAUAACUGAUUGUAAAGUGUGGUACAACACAAGGGAUCCACAAAAGCUUUUCAAAACCAAUUGAACAAACUUAAAAAAUUCAUUGUCAUGCAUUA